UGACCAAUAUUUAGGAAAAUAAAUACUACAUCCACUGAGAUUUUACGCUACACAGAUCAGAGCUCUGAUAAAACUCAUUGACCAGCAUUUUCUCACCAUCUGUGCAUGACUAAUUUACUCCACUGGUCAUUUCAGAUCAGGCUGUUCCAUGUGAUUAUUUUGGGGAGAGAUAAAAUUAUAAAUUUCAUGCAGAAUGUGUCUAGAAGGACAUUGCAAUCUUUUUUGUACAAAAAUUUGUAAUGAUCUUUAAAAUCUAUAUAUCUAUUAGCUAUUUGAUAUUUUCUUUUAGGCUCAAAGAAUAAAAGUUAAAAUGAUGAGUAGAUUAACCCUGCUUUACAUAAUGAUAGACCUGUCCAGUAACUGUUGUAAAUUUUGAAUUCUAAGAUAUCUGGGCCAGCAAUGAGUGCAAAUUAUAGAGGUUGUACUUGAUAUUUUAGCAGUUUUGGAGAUAUUGUUUUGUUUAAGACUUUAAAGUGUUUAAGUAAUUAGAAUCACCUGGGACAAAGAGAUAUACAACAGAAUCAGGUAUUUAUAAACCUUUAAGUUACAUCAAUGCAGAAACAGGUUAUAUAUCAAACUAUCAACAUUUGUAACAAGAGAUCAAGGUUGUUUUUAUAUUUUCAACUUCAUGCAUUUGUUUUUCUGACAAUUGUUUUUAAUCUAUACAUGUAUAAUCUGUAAAAUAUAAAUUAUUCAAUGAUUUCUUUAUAAUGUAUAUUGUUAAAAUGACAAUUGUUAGUAGAUCUUUUUCAUUUCCUACAAAAAAAAACAAAUUAAAUCAAUUUGAUUAAAUAGGACUAAAUGGUACAAUCAGUAGUUUUGUACAGCUGAACAGGGUCAUCAUAUGAUAAUCAUUUGUUAUUUACAUGUAUGUGUUGUGUUUUCAAUGAUUACAUUUUACAUUAUACAAUUACAUAACUUGCAGGCUUGGACAUAAGUGUUGACUGAGAGAAUUACCAACAGUGUUUAAUAAUGAUGUGCAGUAUUAAUCCUGAAAAGGUGAGCACAACCACAAGAAGUUCUAGGAAACACAGGCAGAGGACUGAAAAUGGACAUCAAUAAAAGAAAUAGUAAUUUAAAUAAUCAGAAACACUUGAAACAAAUUUAAGAUUAAAAAAGGUUUCUCAUUGACAGAUUAAGAGCAAAAUAAUUGCUUAAAUUUAUAAGACAACCAGAACCUACCAAACCUGCAGCUAGUAAAAAAACUGUUUGUGCUAUAGUGAAUGUAGGAUGUUCUGUUCUGUAUUUGGACUAAAGGAUAUGUAUUAAAUUUUGUGAAAGAAAUA